rnacentral:misc_RNA from 1 species
CUAGAAAUCUAGAGUUUUGAAAAUUUUGCUGUUGAAAGCUUUCUCUGAUUUGCUGGAAGUUCUGCGGCAUCAGCUAUCUGUGGUUUGACCUUAUAGAAGCUCCUCAAUUCAAGUUGGGGCAUUCACAACUGUAUACUUAAAGGUGGUUGUUCAUGUCAAGUCAAUCUGAUUCUUUUUAAACACAGCGUAACUAAAUCAUGCUCUCAACCUGUAUGUAAAUUACAAGUCCAUAUGCAGUCAUUCUUUAAUGUGUAUUUUUUCUUUCU